UACGGGGGGAGCAAGCGUUGUUCGGAUUUACUGGGCGUAAAGGGCGCGUAGGCGGCCACCGCAAGUCGACUGUGAAAUCUCCGGGCUUAACCCGGAAAGGUCAGCCGAUACUGCGGGGCUAGAGUGCAGAAGGGGCAACUGGAAUUCUCGGUGUAGCGGUGAAAUGCGUAGAUAUCUGGAGGAACACCGGUGGCGAAGGCGACGUCCUGGACCGGCAUUGACGCUGAGGCGCGAAAGCCAGGGGAGCAAACGGG
rnacentral:rRNA from 1 species